rnacentral:rRNA from 1 species
UACGGAGGAUCCGAGCGUUAUCCGGAUUUAUUGGGUUUAAAGGGUGCGCAGGCGGGAGAUUAAGUCGGCGGUGAAAUUUUGCAGCUCAACUGUAAAAGUGCCUUCGAAACUGGUUUCCUUGAGUGUAGAUGAAGUAGGCGGAAUUUGUGGUGUAGCGGUGAAAUGCAUAGAUAUCGCGAGGAACUCCGAUUGCGCAGGCAGCUUACUAAACUACUACUGACGCUCAGGCACGAAGGCGUGGGGAUCAAACAGGAUUAGAUACCCGCGUA